UCGGCGGGGCAACCCGCCGCUGGAACCUCAUCAAACCUUUUUUGCAUCUAGCAUUACCUGUUCUGAUAAAAAACAAUCGUAACAACUUUCAACAAUGGAUCUCUUGGCUCUGGCAUCGAUGAAGAACGCAGCGAAAUGCGAUAAGUAGUGUGAAUUGCAGAAUUCAGUGAAUCAUCGAAUCUUUGAACGCACAUUGCGCCCCUUGGUAUUCCAUGGGGCAUGCCUGUUCGAGCGUCAUCUACACCCUCAAGCUCUGCUUGGUGUUGGGCGUCUGUCCCGCCUCUGCGCGCGGACUCGCCCCAAAGGCAUUGGCAGCGGUCCACGGCCCCUCUCGCGCAGCACAUUGCGCUUCUCGAGGCGGCCCGGCCCGCAUCCACGAAGCCCACAUUACCGUCUUUGACCUCGGAUCAGGUAGGGAUACCCGCUGAACUUAAGCAUA
rnacentral:rRNA from 1 species